AUUGAACGCUGGCGGCAUGCCUUACACAUGCAAGUCGAACGGCAGCACGGGAGCAAUCCUGGUGGCGAGUGGCGAACGGGUGAGUAAUAUAUCGGAACGUGCCCAGUCGUGGGGAUAACGUAGCGAAAGCUACGCUAAUACCGCAUACGAUCUAUGGAUGAAAGCGGGGGAUCGCAAGACCUCGCGCGAUUGGAGCGGCCGAUAUCAGAUUAGGUAGUUGGUGAGGUAAAGGCUCACCAAGCCGACGAUCUGUAGCUGGUCUGAGAGGACGACCAGCCACACUGGGACUGAGACACGGCCCAGACUCCUACGGGAGGCAGCAGUGGGGAAUUUUGGACAAUGGGCGCAAGCCUGAUCCAGCAAUGCCGCGUGCAGGAUGAAGGCCUUCGGUUGUAACUAGCUUUGUACGGUACG
rnacentral:rRNA from 1 species